ACAAACCCGGAUCUUAAGGAUACUAGUGUUUUGGAGUGAAAUCUAACUAGAUGUCAUGUGUAUGAGUGAGUAUUACAAGUAGAACCACAAUUGGAAUUUUAAAAGCCUAAGUAUUGUAUCCUUGUUAGAAGAUACAAAGACAAACAAUCAUACGGACUUUGGCUACACCAUCAAAGCUUUGAGAAGCAAGAAGAAGCUUGGUUAGUGUUUUGGAGUCGAAUAUGACUUGAUGUGAUGUGUAUGAUUGAGUAUAAGAAAUUAAACCGCAACCGGAUCUUAAAAGCGUAAGUAUUGUUUCCUUGUUAGAAGAUACAAAGGCAAAGCCUCAU
rnacentral:sRNA from 1 species